rnacentral:rRNA from 1 species
GACGAACCGUGCGAACGUUAUUCGGAAUCACUGGGCUUAAAGCGCGUGUAGGCGGGACGGCGCGUCGGUCGCUGAAAUCCCCCGGCUCAACCGGGGAACGGGCGCCGAUACGGCCAUCCUGGAGGGGGGUAGGGGGGCCUGGAACUUCCGGUGGAGCGGUGAAAUGCGUUGAGAUCGGAAGGAACGCCCGUGGCGAAAGCGAGGCCCUGGACCUUUUCUGACGCUGAGACGCGAAAGCCAGGGGAGCGAACGGG